rnacentral:tRNA from 1 species
GCUGUUGUAGCUCAGUGGAAGAGCUCCUGAUAAAAAACCAGGAGGUCGGCGGGUCAAUCCCACCCAGCAACA